rnacentral:rRNA from 1 species
AUUGAACGCUGGCGGCAGGCCUAACACAUGCAAGUCGAGCGAGCGGCGGACGGGUGAGUAAUGGAUGGGAAACUGCCUGAUGGAGGGGGAUAACUACUGGAAAAGGUAGCUAAUACCGCAUACCAUCAGAUGUGCGAAGAGGGGAUUAGCUAGUAGGUGGGGGAACGGCUCACCUAGGAGACGAUCCCUAGCUGGUCGGAGCGGCUGACCAGCCACACUGGAACGUAGACACGGUCCAGACUCCUACGUGAGGCAGCAGUGGGGAAUAUUGCACAAUGGGCGCAAGCCUGAUGCAGCCAUGCCGCGUGGGUGAAGAAGGUCUUCGGGUUGUAAAGCACUUUCAGCGGGGAGGCGUUACCCGCAGAAGAAGCACCGGCUAACUCCGUGCCAGCAGCCGCGGUAAUAC